UACGUAGGUGGCAAGCGUUGUCCGGAAUUAUUGGGCGUAAAGAGCUCGUAGGCGGCCAGUUGCGUCUGCUGUGAAAUCCCGGGGCUCAACCCCGGGCGUGCAGUGGAUACGGGCUGGCUAGAGGCAGGCAGGGGAGAACGGAAUUCCCGGUGUAGCGGUGAAAUGCGCAGAUAUCGGGAGGAACACCGGUGGCGAAGGCGGUUCUCUGGGCCUGUACUGACGCUGAGGAGCGAAAGCGUGGGGAGCGAACAGG
rnacentral:rRNA from 1 species